CUGCAGGACGGACUCCUUUGUCGCCUCCCUUCACUUCCACAUCUCACCCAUGGCAGGAUGCAGCCACUGUCCUCAGGUAAACUAGGACAGCUGCUGCGGCCCCUCACCCUCGGCGGGCAUCUCUGCAAGCACAACAGACUAAAGGGAUUUGGCCAAGACCCACAUUAGGAGACACUUGAGAGUGUUGAGUUUGAUCAGAUGGCAAUCAUCCGGAUCCCAGAAAGCUGGAGCAGGAGCUGGAGGGAAAUAUUUUCUCUUUCCUGAUUUGGGUCCUGCUACCUUCUCAUUGGGUCUCAUUACUUUUCAGUUCUGGGAGGUUUUGUUGUAUCUUAAGGUCUUCCUCUCAACGCAGCUUUAAUAUGCCAAGCUCUGCACCUUAGGACAGCAAGGGCGAAAGUACGGGGGAAAUAAGUGUUGGCAAGGUGGGAAAUACUCAAAUUUCUCUGUGAUGAAAAUGGUAUUGCUGCUGUGGAAAACAAAAUGGUGACUCCGCUGAGAAGUUACUUUGGGUCGCCAUAUGAUUCAGCAAUUAUCAUGUUGUGGUGUCUUAAAGUAGAAUGGCUCCCAUACGCUCAUAUAUUCGAAUACUUUGAAUGUCACCAGGGAGUGGCGCUGUUUGAAAGGAUUAGAAGGAUUGGGCGGUGUGGCCUUGUUGGAGGAAGUAUGUCACUUGGGAAUGGGCUCUUAAGUUUCAAAAGGCCCAUUACGGACCCAGUCUCUCUUUCACUCUGCUUGCGGAUCGGAUGGAUCUCUCAGCUACUUCACCAACAAGAUGCUUUCCACCACCCCCUCUGUGAUGAUAAUGGACUAAGCCUCUAAAACUACCAAGCCCCCAAUUAAAUGCAGUACUUUGUAAUAGUUGCCAUGGUCAUGGUAUACUAGUGUUUAAAAUAGCACCAUCGGACUGGCAAGAUGGCUCAGGAGGUAAUGGGCUUUGUCAUCAAGUCUGAUAUCCUGAGUUGAAUUCCUAUAAACCACAAGGUGGAAGGAAAGAAACAACUCCCGAAAGUUGUUUUCUGACAUUUGGGCACACACAAACACAUGUAAAAUAAAAUAAUAGCAUUAUUCAUAACAGCCAAAAUAUGGAAACAAUCCAAGUGUCCAUUGACAGCCAAUUGGAUGACUGAACAGGAACUCAUUCCUCUGGAAGCUAGGAAGUCUAAGAUCAAGGCAUGAGCAGAUUCCCUCUUUGCUGAGCACCUGUUUCCUGAUAGACCCAUGGAAGGGUCUAGUCAUGCUCGGGAGAGUCCUCUGUUAGGGCACUGAACUCAGCUGUGAGGACUCUACUCUCAAGACCCAAGCACUUUCUGGAUUUCUCCAUUCAUAAUAACAUCACUGCUGUUAUUUGGUUAAGUGUCCCCCAAGGUCCAUGUGGUUACACCUUGGUCCCUAGCAUGGUACUAUUGAUAGCUGGUAGAACAUUUAAAUGAUGAAACCUAGCUGUUAGACUUCAAGGUAUUAGGUAGAGACCUUGAACAUGUUAGUGACAUCCCAGUUCCUGCUUUACUGUCAUGGGGUGAGAGAUUUCACUCUGCUAUUUGAUGGGGAAGUCCUUCUGUGUGUAUGUUUCUUAUUGGUUGAUAAAUAAAGUACUGUUGGCCAAUA